rnacentral:piRNA from 1 species
UGGCACAGAAAGACUGCUGAGUCUCUAA